rnacentral:misc_RNA from 1 species
GAUGAAGAACGUAGCGAAAUGCGAUAAGUAAUGUGAAUUGCAGAAUUCAGUGAAUCAUCGAAUCUUUGAACGCACAUUGCGCCCCCUGGUAUUCCGGGGGGCAUGCCUGUCCGAGCGUCAUUACAACCCUCAAGCUCAGCUUGGUGGUGGGCCCCGCCGCCCCGGCGGGCCCUAAAGUCAGUGGCGGUGCCGUCCGGCUCCGAGCGUAGUAAUUCUUCUCGCUCUGGAGGUCCGGUCGUGUGCUCGCCAGCAACCCCCAAUUUUUUUCAGGUUGACCUCGGAUCAGGUAGGGAUACCCGCUGAACUUAAGCAUAUCAAUAAGCGGAGGA